rnacentral:rRNA from 1 species
CUAGCAUAUCAAUAAGCGGAGGAAAAGAAACCAACCGGGAUUGCCUCAGUAACGGCGAGUGAAGCGGCAAGAGCUCAAAUUUGAAAGCUGGCCCCUCCGGGGUCCGCAUUGUAAUUUGCAGAGGAUGCUUCGGGCUCAGCCCCCGUCUAAGUGCCCUGGAACGGGCCGUCGGAGAGGGUGAGAAUCCCGUCUGGGACGGGGUGCCUGGGUCCAUGUGAAGCUCCUUCGACGAGUCGAGUUGUUUGGGAAUGCAGCUCUAAAUGGGUGGUAAAUUUCAUCUAAAGCUAAAUACUGGCCGGAGACCGAUAGCGCACAAGUAGAGUGAUCGAAAGAUGAAAAGCACUUUGAAAAGAGAGUUAAACAGCACGUGAAAUUGUUGAAAGGGAAGCGCUUGCGAUCAGACUCGCCUGCGGGGUUCAGCCGGCAUUCGUGCCGGUGUACUUCCCCGUGGGCGGGCCAGCGUCGGUUCGGGUGGCCGGUCAAAGGCCCCGGGAAUGUGUCGCCCUCCGGGGCGUCUUAUAGCCCGGGGUGCCAUGCGGCCUACCUGGACCGAGGAACGCGCUUCGGCUCGGACGCUGGCGUAAUGGUCGUAAGCGACCCGUCUUGAAACACGGACCAAGGAGUCUAACAUCUACGCGAGUGUUUGGGUGGCAAACCCAUACGCGCAGUGAAAGCGAACGGAGGUGGGAACCCUUCGGGGCGCACCAUCGACCGAUCCUGAUGUCUUCGGAUGGAUUUGAGUAAGAGCGUAGCUGUGGGGACCCGAAAGAUGGUGAACUAUGCCUGAAUAGGGCGAAGCCAGAGGAAACUCUGGUGGAGGCUCGCAGCGGUUCUGACGUGCAAAUCGAUCGUCAAAUUUGGGUAUAGGGGCGAAAGACUAAUCGAACCAUCUGGUAGCUGGUUCCUGCCGA